UGGGGAUUUAGCAGAUGCUUGAUGUCCUAAUGCAAAGCGUGAGGAUGUCCAGCAUCAGUUAGGUGACUUUUGGUCGCCUAACCAACUGGUAGGAGUUAACCCCUAAAGGGUAAAGGGGAGUGGGACACUGCACACAGACCACCUUAAUGAGCUGAAGUGGUCUGGGUGCCUUUAGUGUCCCUUUAAGCACACACUGACAGUUACACACACAUACUCAAUGACAACCACACAGAUGUCACUGACAGACAAACUCACUGAAUUGAUACACACACAUUCCCCAACAGACACACUGGCAGAUACGUACUGACAAUCACACACA